rnacentral:rRNA from 1 species
UACGUAGGGGGGCAAGCGUUGUCCGGAAUCAUUGGGCGUAAAGAGCGUGUAGGCGGCCCGAUAAGUCCGCUGUGAAAGUCCAGGGCUCAACCCUGGGAUGCCGGUGGAUACUGUCGGGCUCGAGUCCGGAAGAGGAGUGUGGAAUUCCUGGUGUAGCGGUGGAAUGCGUAGAGAGUCCGGAGGAACACCAGCGGCGAAGGCGGCAUCCUGGACUGGUACUGACGCUCAUGAGCGAAAGCGAUGGGGAGCGUA